rnacentral:lncRNA from 1 species
CAAGAAAAACCACCAAGAGAGAGAGAGGGCGGGAAGGAUCUAUGAACCAUAGAGAAAGAGACCAUCUACAUUGGCUGGAUUUACCAUGUACGAGCUGGACUGUUUUGGACUUACCUGUUGGCGUUUAGACCUGGACCUACCGAGAACCAGAUUUGUGUACCGAACCCUGCUAUCUUUGACCUUACCUGCGGCCUGGGUGGACCAGGACAGAGAAACAAACACACAGGUUAUAUCAGCUGUUUUGGUGAACCCUUCCCGCAUCUGAACUGGCUGACACAGAGGGCAUAACCUGAUCAUAGGUAUGUUUUGAUGUGACAGAGGAAGCCAGUCCCGUCAUCGACACCUUACCCGCUCUUAAGAUCACGUUUGGGCCAACUGGGGGCCCAAGGCUGGUUUGGAGACACCGCAAUUGUGAUGAACUGAGAGAAUAUUAGGGUAGCACUGUAAUUCAUGAAUCACAUGCUGUCUGCCACUGUUCUUACCUCUUUCCCCUCUGUCUUCUACACCUCUCUCCCUACCUCGUCUUUCUUCCUCAUUUUAUAAUGCAC